CCGUGGACGCGGUCCCGCCGAGAGCCGAAGAUGGCAGUGAACGUAUAUUCAACAUCAGUCACCAGUGAUAACCUAAGUCGACACGACAUGCUGGCCUGGAUCAAUGAGUCUCUGCAGUUGAAUCUGACGAAGAUCCAACAGUUGUGCUCAGGGGCUGCCUACUGUCAGUUUAUGGACAUGUUGUUCCCUGGCUCCACUGCCUUGAAGAAAGUGAAAUUCCAGGCUAAGCUAGAACAUGAAUACAUCCAGAACUUCAAAAUACUACAAGCAGGUUUUAAGAGACUGGGCGUUGACAAAAUAAUUCCUGUGGACAUAUUAGUAAAAGGAAAGUUUCAGGACAAUUCUGAAUUUGUUCAGUGGUUCAAGAAGUUUUUUGAUGCAAACUAUGAUGGAAAAGGCUAUGACCCCAUAGCUGCCAGACAAGGUCAAGAAACUGCAGUGGCUCCCUCCCUUGUUGCUCCAGCUCUGAAAAAAACCGAAGAAACCUCUCAGCUCUAGCAGUGCAGCUCCACAGAGGCCCAUUGCAACACACAGAACUACUGAACCCCCUCAGGCUCGGCGGGGGGGGGGGGGGGGCGAAAGAAUCCUGGUGUGGGCAGCGGGGAUGAUCAAGCAGCUGAACUGAUGCAGCAGGUCAACGUAUUGAAACUUACCAUCGAAGACUUGGAGAAAGAAAGAGACUUCUACUUUGGAAAGCUAAGGAACAUUGAAUUGAUUUGCCAGGAGAAUGAGGGGGAAAACAAUCCAGUAUUGCAGAGGAUCGUGGACAUUCUGUAUGCCACAGAUGAGGGCUUUGUGAUACCUGAUGAAGGGGGCCCACAGGAGGAACAAGAAGAGUAUUAACGGCCUGGACCAGCAGAGCAACAUCCGAAUUCUUCACUCCAAAUCAUGUGCUUAACUGUAAAAUACCCCCUUUUAUUAUGCUUAGAGGACUCACUGGUUUCUUUUCAUGAGCAAACAGUACCUCUUCUUAAAGUGCACUGUGCAGAAGUUUCAUCCCUUUUCCAAUGAGUUUGAGUUAGGAGCUUUUACCCUGUAGCUGAGCAGUAUUAACAUCUAGUUGGGUCACCUAGGGAACAAAGAGGCUGACCAUGGGGCUCACCGUGUGGACGCUGGUAACACUGAUUGCUGGAGAAGGUGUUUUUAUGUGAUACACUGAGGUGGAAACCUCAGUAGAGAAAUGUAAAGACUGAUUUGAAUUUUAAUCUAAUGUGAAAUCUUGGCAGAGAACGUUUUAAUAAAUAAAUGCCUGAAGAGUAUUUAAAAUAUGCUUCCAUAUUUCAAAAUAUAAAAUGUAACAUGACAGGAGAUUUUACAUGUUUGACAUUGUAUCUGGGAAGGAAGAAGGGCCAGACCUCUGGACCUUUGGAAUCUGCUGUUCACAGGCCUUGCAGGGCUGCUUGAAUCCUCAAAGACCUAGACCUUGGCCCAAAAGGAAAGUUUAAAAAGUUGCUCUGUAAAGCCAUUUGGUGUCCUUGACCAAUAGUAUCCCUGCUCUAAGAAGUAAG